rnacentral:rRNA from 1 species
CACGUAGGGUGCGAGCGUUUGUCCGGAAUUAUUGGGCGUAAAGAGCUCGUAGGCGGUGUGUCGCGUCGGCCGUGAAAACCUGUGGCUUAACUAUGGGCUUGCGGUCGAUACGGGCAUCACUGGAGUUCGGCAGGGGAGACUGGAAUUCCUGGUGUAGCGGUGAAAUGCGCAGAUAUCAGGAGGAACACCGGUGGCGAAGGCGGGUCUCUGGGCCGAUGACUGACGCUGAGGAGCGAAAGCGUGGGGAGCGAACAGG